AAGGUCAAGCGCGAGAGUAAGAACUAUUCAAGAAGUCACAGUACCUUAGCAAAACUUUGCUAUCAGGUUGAGCUGUGAUGGGCGAUGAAGUGUUGUUGCUGAGUAGAGUUUUUGUCGAACUUAAAGUAGGCUCAGAAAGGAUACAUGUCUUCAUACAUGUAUCUCAGUUAUGCAUUCCGCUGUAAACACUGAUUAUUUCAGUUACACCUUCCGUUGCAAACUCUGAUAAUGUUUUAGCCAAGCCCCUAACGAUGCCUUUUUCCUUUUAAGGAAUAUAAUGCGUAUACAAGUUC